UUAACUUUUGGUGUUAUGGCACAUUAAAUUUUGAUUUUAAAGGAAACAAGUCGUGUUGUUAAGGUUAAU
rnacentral:tRNA from 1 species